UUUCUCUUUUUCCUUCAUCUUUCUGUAUUCUGUUGGAUUUCAGUUGUUUCGCCUUUAUAAUUUUGAGAGCUAUUUUCAUUUGUAAUUACUUCAUAAAUCUUUGCAUUUUUCGAUGUGCUUUUUGUUGAUCACUUCACUCUGCUCUGUCAUUUCUGCUCGAUUUUUGUUUGGAAUAUUUAAUUUUCUCUUGGAGUUCUCUUGUGACUUUUCAGGUUCAUCUUUUUUUAAUACAUUUCAGGUUCUUCACUACUAAGGAGCAGGAAAAUGAAGAAAUUCUAAGGAAAAGGUACUAUAUGACAUCAUGGCAAACCCAUCCUCAUAUGCCGACUAGCUUUAUAAAUCUCUCUGGAAGGCUUUAGUUGUUGCUAUAGUAGAUGAGCAUGAAGUUACAUUGCCACGAUAUCAUAAGCGGAAUGACUUUGUAUCAACAUGGAUAACCUAUAGUCAUGAUGUUUAUCUCUUGGUUAACCAUUUCAUAUGGUAUAAUGCAGUUUCACACGGUAUUCCCUAGAUGAGGGUAGAAAUUAUUUGGGAUGCACUAGCCUGUUUAAAGAAUUUUCAAUUGUAACAUCUUCGCAGGCAUAUAUUUCCUCUUAGGUAAGGAGUCUCUCAUUUGAGCGUAAGAGUUGAAAAUGAUAUAGUUCCUUGACAUGACGAUACAACUCUUUUUAUUUGUUUCCUUUAUAAUUUUUUUCCUUUAUAAUUUCAGGUUUAAUUUUUUUUUUUUUUUUAUCACAUGCAAGAGUUAAUAAGAAGUUUAAACUAAAAAGUUUUUAUGUUGACAAUAGACACUUGAAUUCUUAGGUAAACAUGGUUUAUCUUGUACUCAAUUUUUUAAAAACAAUGCAGUGAUAAACGAAAUAGCUCUACCAAGCGAAAAAAGCUAUAGUUAAUUUAUCUGAUUCACUCACUUGAUUAGAUGAAUUGUUAUUACCACUUUGGAACCAAAAGAAUAAAUAUUGAAGAAGCACUAAGGUUUUUCUUUUUUAUGCUUCGUAUCCUGAACACAAUAUAGAGAAAAAGUUUCUUUAGCUUUACCAGUAAGUUUAACGUUUAUGUAUUACUCCGAAUUUUCUUAGAUGAGACUGAAGUAAAAGGAUAAAUGCGUCAAUCCAGGAAGAAACAUUUGGAUACCUGUUGUUUGUUUUGUGAAAGGUUACACAUUUGGAGUACAUACAUGGAGGUUAGGUCUUAUGGAACUUCACUUGUCAGAAGAGUGUAAGAGCUUGUGUAGACUUUUAGCAUACAGUCAAAAUGAAUGAAUCUAUUUUUCAAAUUUUCUGUCUUGUAACAAUGUAAGAAGUUUGAAAUUUAAACCUGAAAAAUGUAAAAUCUGAAGUGAAGACUAAUUUGCACUUUGAAUCAAUUGAGAUUUGAUUGAGAUUCCAAAGAGUUUCAUCUUCAUCUAAAUGAGUUGUUUCUUGAGCAUAGAAAUCACUGUAAUAAAGCUAGAAUACUGGAUACGUGCACGACAAAAAUUUUUACUAGAGUGAGAUUCUAGGUGCCUUAGGCUAGAGUCAUCUAUCUCUACACAUAAAUUGCUCAGUCAAAGAAACGAAAAACAAAAGCUAACUACCAGUACUAAUUACUUAUUCCGAGUCAUCCUUUCUCCUAUAAGUUCAUUAAAUCUGUUUUUGUCUCUUAUAAAUGUGCUUUAUGCUGCUCAAGUCUGACUUAUACUAGCACUUAUUUUUCCUGCAUAUUUUUAUCUUAGUUGUCUUCACUUUUACAUUGCUGUAAAAUCUUUAAAUUGGAGAUUCAAAUAGGUCAUAUAAUGUGAACUUUAAAACUAAAUCUCUAUUUUAAUAUUAUGUAUAACUUGCAAUUCACUCCAAUGAUGAAAUAAAGCCCGGACUUAAUUGACUUAAUAUAGCUGAACUACUUCCAUUUUAUGCUUAUCUUUGGCUUAAAAAUGUGCAACUUUCAUGUAGCUUUUCAUCUGUUAGUAUGUUCCAUUAGACAAAUCUGCAUUCAGACCAAGGAAGACCAGCAAGUGAGACAAAAUGACUUCUCCACUCAGGUAGGAUGGUGUAAACUAUUUCGCUGAAAUUUGUAUUAAUAGAAGUUGUACUAAAGUAUUGCUCAAGUCAGUAUUUUAUAUAAAUCAUCUAAAAACUUCAAAAGUUGUGUGGUACUCGCGUUCUGUGUGUCUUAUGAAAUCGUGUGGCUAUUUGUUGUCAAACAUGUGAGAGCUUAAAGAAAGACACUGGAGUGUCGGUUGGUUGUGUGGUGGAACAAGAGGAUGCUAGCACUUUAUGCACUCUCCCGCAAGAAAUGUAUUUCAUUAGAUUCACCUAUCCAAAAAUUUAAAAGCAUGUGCCAGAGCUGAUCUACUUCAUUUGCACAAAGCACUCCCAUAAUGAAUGUUAAGAAAAUUGAUAUUAAUUAUUUUUUCUAUGUUCUGAUUUAGAAAGUGAACAAUGAGGUGAUCUUGUAACAAGCUUAAAGGAAUUCUCUAACAAUUUAGAGAUGAACUCUUUUACUAGAUUAACCCACUUUUUUUGCAGCUUUGUAAUCCUUGUGUUAGUAUGCACCAUGAUAUUAUUGACAAGUCAUUGCAGUGAUGAUAAAAGUAUAUUUCAAAGAGUUAAAUUCUUGAUUAUACUUUAUGCUUGUUGCUAUUUUUGAAUGCCUUAAUUGAAUGCUUGCUUGAUUGAUAUAUGUGAUCCUCAGGUUGAGGAAGAUGGAACAAAUUUAAGAUUCAUGUGAGCUACUGCAUAUUUUCUCAUAGGAUAUUGGACGAUUUUCUUAUGUUAUAUAAUUUUCUGCCAACAUGAUUAUGCAAUGACACCUCAUUCUUUUAAGAAAUGCCUUGUCCACUUCAAAAAAGGUGUGACACCAUGUUUCCUCAAGAUUUAAUGUUUCUGUCUUUUUCCUUUUUUCAGCAGAUGAUGUAACAACGACGAAGGUGUUUAUGAGACAAGGGGUGCAUCUUUUUGUCUUUUUCUCAUGGGAGCAAGCUAGAGAAAGUACUUAAUUCAACAUUACAUAUUUCAGAUCUUGUACAAUUUUGUUCCUCAAAUGAAUGUGCAUAUAUAAUGAAACGUUGUUAUGUUAGUUAAAACAUGUAUGAAAUUAUCUUCUCAA